GAUGAACGCUAGCUACAGGCUUAACACAUGCAAGUCGAGGGGCAGCAUGAACAAAGCUUGCUUUGUUUGAUGGCGACCGGCGCACGGGUGCGUAACACGUAUCCAAUCUGCCCGCGGCUCGGGGAUAGCCCAUCGAAAGAUGGAUUAAUACCCGAUGGCGUUGUCACUCCGCAUGGAGGUUCCACUAAAGGUUUUCCGGCCGCGGAUGAGUAUGCGUAUGAUUAGGUAGUAGGCGGGGUAACGGCCCACCUAGCCUUCGAUCAUUAGGGGUUCUGAGAGGAAGGUCCCCAACCAUGGAACUGGGACACGGUCCAGACUCCUACGGGAGGCAGCAGUGCGGAAUAUUGGUCAAUGGGCGAGAGCCUGAACCAGCCAAGUAGCGUGAAGGAAGACUGCCCUAUGGGUUGUAAACUUCUUUUGUUCGGGAAUAAAGUGCAGUACGCGUACUGUUUUGUAUGUACCGUUCGAAUAAGCAUCGGCUAAUUCCGUGCCAGCCGCCGCAGUAACAC
rnacentral:rRNA from 1 species